rnacentral:rRNA from 1 species
GACGAACCGUACGAACGUUAUUCGGAAUCACUGGGCUUAAAGGGUGCGUAGGCGGCGCAGUAAGUUGGGUGUGAAAUCCCUCGGCUUAACCGAAGAAUUGCGCCCAAAACUACUGUGCUCGAGGGAGGUAGAGGUGAGCGGAACUUAGGGUGGAGCGGUGAAAUGCGUUGAUAUCCUAAGGAACACCGGUGGCGAAAGCGGCUCACUGGACCUCUUCUGACGCUGAGGCACGAAAGCUAGGGUAGCAAACGGGG